rnacentral:rRNA from 1 species
UCAGAUGCGAAAGCGUGGGUAGCAAACAGGAUUAGAUACCCUGGUAGUCCACGCCGUAAACGCUGUCUACUUGGAGGUUGAGGUUUUAGAUUUUGGCUUUCGGCGCUAACGCAUUAAGUAGACCGCCUGGGGAGUACGGCCGCAAGGUUAAAACUCAAAUGAAUUGACGGGGGCCCGCACAAGCGGUGGAGCAUGUGGUUUAAUUCGAUGCAACGCGAAGAACCUUACCUACUCUUGACAUCCAGCGAAGCCUUUAGAGAUAGAGGUGUGCCUUCGGGAGCGAUGAGACAGGUGCUGCAUGGCUGUCGUCAGCUCGUGUUGUGAAAUGUUGGGUUAAGUCCCGCAACGAGCGCAACCCUUAUCCUUGUUUGCCAGCACAUAAUGGUGGGAACUCCAGGGAGACUGCCGGUGAUAAACCGGAGGAAGGUGGGGACGACGUCAAGUCAUCAUGGCCCUUACGAGUAGGGCUACACACGUGCUACAAUGGCAGAUACAGAGGGCAGCGAGACAGCGAUGUUUAGCGAAUCCCUUAAAGUUUGUCGUAGUCCGGAUUGGAGUCUGCAACUCGACUCCAUGAAGUCGGAAUCGCUAGUAAUCGUGGAUCAGAAUGCCACGGUGAAUACGUUCUCGGGCCUUGUACACACCGCCC